rnacentral:rRNA from 1 species
AUUGAACGCUGGCGGCAGGCCUAACACAUGCAAGUCGAGCGGAUGAAGGGAGCUUGCUCCUGGAUUCAGCGGCGGACGGGUGAGUAAUGCCUAGGAAUCUGCCUGGUAGUGGGGGAUAACGUCCGGAAACGGGCGCUAAUACCGCAUACGUCCUGAGGGAGAAAGUGGGGGAUCUUCGGUCCUCACGCUAUCAGAUGAGCCUAGGUCGGAUUAGCUAGUUGGUGGGGUAAAGGCCUACCAAGGCGACGAUCCGUAACUGGUCUGAGAGGAUGAUCAGUCACACUGGAACUGAGACACGGUCCAGACUCCUACGGGAGGCAGCAGUGGGGAAUAUUGGACAAUGGGCGAAAGCCUGAUCCAGCCAUACCGCGUGUGUGAAGAAGGUCUUCGGAUUGUAAAGCACUUUAAGUUGGGAGGAAGGGCAGUAAGUUAAUACCUUGCUGUUUUGACGUUACCAACAGAAUAAGCACCGGCUAACUUCGUG